rnacentral:rRNA from 1 species
CCUACGGGAGGCAGCAGUGGGGAAUUUUGGACAAUGGGGGCAACCCUGAUCCAGCAAUGCCGCGUGAGUGAAGAAGGCCCUCGGGUUGUAAAGCUCUUUUGUCAGGGAAGAAAAGGUUGCGGCUAAUAUCCGCGACUCAUGACGGUACCUGAAGAAUAAGCACCGGCUAACUACGUGCCAGCAGCCGCGGUAAUACGUAGGGUGCAAGCGUUAAUCGGAAUUACUGGGCGUAAAGCGUGCGCAGGCGGUUUUGUAAGACUGUCGUGAAAUCCCCGGGCUUAACCUGGGAAUGGCGAUGGUGACUGCAAGGCUAGAGUUUGGCAGAGGGGGGUAGAAUUCCACGUGUAGCAGUGAAAUGCGUAGAUAUGUGGAGGAACACCGAUGGCGAAGGCAGCCCCCUGGGUCAAAACUGACGCUCAUGCACGAAAGCGUGGGGAGCAAACAGGAUUAGAUACCCUGGUAGUCCACGCCCUAAACGAUGUCUACUAGUUGUCGGGCCUUAAUUGACUUGGUAACGCAGCUAACGCGUGAAGUAGACCGCCUGGGGAUCGGUCGCAAGNUUAAAACNAAGAUGACGNNGAGAGNGCGAGAGACAGAGGAGAGG